GACGAACGCUGGCGGCGUGCCUAAUACAUGCAAGUAGAACGCUGAAGGAGGAGCUUGCUUCUCUGGAUGAGUUGCGAACGGGUGAGUAACGCGUAGGUAACCUGCCUGGUAGCGGGGGAUAACUAUUGGAAACGAUAGCUAAUACCGCAUAAUAGUAGAUGUUGCAUGACAUUUGCUUAAAAGGUGCAAUUGCAUCACUACCAGAUGGACCUGCGUUGUAUUAGCUAGUUGGUGAGGUAACGGCUCACCAAGGCGACGAUCCAUAGCCGACCUGAGAGGGUGAUCGGCCACACUGGGACUGAGACACGGCCCAGACUCCUACGGGAGGCAGCAGUAGGGAAUCUUCGGCAAUGGACGGAAGUCUGACCGAGCAACGCCGCGUGAGUGAAGAAGGUUUUCGGAUCGUAAAGCUCUGUUGUAAGAGAAGAACGAGUGUGAGAGUGGAAAGUUCACACUGUGACGGUAUCUUACCAGAAAGGGACGGCUAACUACGUG
rnacentral:rRNA from 1 species